rnacentral:rRNA from 1 species
AGCGAACGCUGGCGGCAGGCCUAACACAUGCAAGUCGAACGAAGUCUUCGGACUUAGUGGCGGACGGGUGAGUAACACGUGGGAACGUGCCUUUAGGUUCGGAAUAACUCAGGGAAACUUGUGCUAAUACCGAAUGUGCCCUUCGGGGGAAAGAUUUAUCGCCUUUAGAGCGGCCCGCGUCUGAUUAGCUAGUUGGUGAGGUAAUGGCUCACCAAGGCGACGAUCAGUAGCUGGUCUGAGAGGAUGACCAGCCACAUUGGGACUGAGACACGGCCCGAGCUCCUGCGGGAGGCAGCAGUGGGGAAUCUUGAGAAAUGGGCGAAAGGCUGACGCAGCCAUGCCGCGUGGAUGAUGAAGGUCUUAGGAUUGUAAACUCCUUUCACCGGUGAAGAUAAUGACUGUAGCCGGAGAAGAAGCCCCGGCUAACUUCGUGCCAGCCGCCGCAGUAAAAC